UCCCUGGAGGACUAGUGGUUAGGCCACGGUGCUCUCACCACCGCAGCCCAGCUUCGAUUCCCAGCCAGGGAA
rnacentral:tRNA from 1 species